rnacentral:misc_RNA from 1 species
GAGGAGGAGGAGGAGGAGGAGGGGCCGGGGUGGGGAGAACAGAUAUUAUUUGGCUCCAGUUCCAAAGGAGGAAAGUCUACAAGUUCCAUUAGUCCAGUCAAGCAUACACAAGUAAUAAGAAUUCAAAUAAAAAAGUGCCUACUUAGUUCAGCAUUUCACAUAUAUAUCAGAUAAAUUUAUAAAUCAUAUUAACCUUAAGAAAAGUCAAACAAGGAGAUCUUUCCAAAGCCGAAAAAGGCCUAAUUCAUUCAUCCCUUUAUACACAGAUUCAAGGAUCAAUAUGAUUUGUGAAUAUCCUUUACAAGAACGAGCAUAUGUAAUGAAACAGUCCAUCUGUAUCACACAAGAAAAUUGCCAUCAAACCAAGGAAAAAGACACCAUUUAUGCUAUUAUCUUCCUCAACCUCAACAAUUCAGCAACACAGUCAGAGAAACAACUAAAUCAUGCCUUAAAUCCAAGUGAAGUGGCUCUACUUCCAAAGAUCAACACCAAACAUUAAAGUGACAAGUUCAGCACAAGGUCAGCUUUGAAUCUUGCAACACAAUAAAAUAAACUAGCUGCAUUCUUAUGUUUAAAGCACUAGUGUGUAGCAUGUAUUUGAGAAUCAGAAAAGUCAACAAACAAUCUUCUGUGCCAUUACAUAAAUGGGAUGUUCCAUGCCCUACAUCAGUGCAGCCGUUAUAAUGCAAGCAUAUCAUUCCACUCAAUCAAGGACAUUUAAUGUAAAACCGAACAUAUGUGGUUUUGUAAUUUAAUUUAUUGGUUUCUAUUUGAAUACUAUCAAAACCAACUUUGUCAGUUUGGCAAAAUACAUGGAACCACCCACACCAACCCAUGUAUAGCCCUAGUAAUAUCACCGCCAUUAAAAGGAGAUUAAAACAAUAUACAUACAUACAUGUAAUAUCAGCGCCAUUAAAAG